rnacentral:pre_miRNA from 1 species
AUAGUACUCCUUCCGUCCGGAAUUACUUAUCGGAGAAAUGGAUGCAUCUAGAUGUAUUUUAGUUCUAGAUACAUGUAUUUUUUGUGACAAGUUAUUCCGGUCGGAGGGAAUAGUAU